AUGAAGCAGCAAGGCCCGAGUUCUAGGCGAGCAGCAGGUGCGGAACGGUGGGGCUUUAUCUCCUCUUGUCCAGCACAGGCUGCUGGACAAGAUGAAGGGAAGCCAGGGUGGCUCAAAUGGUGGCUGCUCCUCUCCGGCUUGGACCAGAACCCCAGCAACCGCGUAAAUGCAGAGAAACAAGCAGAGCAAAUGGCGCAGCCGUCUCCUCCCCUCGCUUGCUUCCUUCUCUUGGAGCCCCUGUUCCAGCUCUCUCUCUCUCUCUCUCUCUCUCUCUCUCUCUCUGGAUUUGUUUAUGAAUUAACUCUUGUGUUCUUGAUUGGGUUUUGGUUCAGAUAG
rnacentral:rRNA from 1 species